rnacentral:ncRNA from 1 species
UUGGGGACGCAUCACGCGGGCGUCCUUGCGGCAACGCAAGGAGCAAACUUGGCUAUAUGCUGGAACAUCUGGCGUAUCCAACUGUACUUUGGUAACAUUCAAUCAUUAUCACAAAUAGUUGAUGUGCCAAAGUGAAUAUCAGUUUGGUGCAGACAACCAGCAGGGAAGUUCUUCGGUAAUAAAUUGGAGAACCCCUCAACGACUAUACGCCAAGUAUCCAUGUAUAUACAUGGAUAAUGAUAUAGUCUGAACUGCAUAGCGACAUGCAG